ACACGAGGCUCUUCUGAUAUCCACACAAAACCCACAUCUAACACCACAGCUUGUGACAGGAGCCUGGAUGCUUCUCCACUAAGAUUGGGAAAAGGCAAAGAGAUCUUACCCCAUUUGUUCAGUAUCAUACUGAAAGUCCUAGCUAGUGUGAUAAAGCAAGAGAAGAUUGGAAAGGAAGAAAUAAAACUAUUAGUUGAUGACACUAUUGUACAGAAAUCUCCAUAGAAUCUGCAGAAGAAUACUCCGGGAACUAAUAAGCAAGUAUAGUGAGACCACAACAUACAACAUCAA